UACGUAGGUGGCAAGCGUUGUCCGGAAUUAUUGGGCGUAAGCGCGCGCAGGUGGUUCCUUAAGUCUGAUGUGAAAGCCCACGGCUCAACCGUGGAGGGUCAUUGGAAACUGGGGAACUUGAGUGCAGAAGAGGAAAGUGGAAUUCCAAGUGUAGCGGUGAAAUGCGUAGAGAUUUGGAGGAACACCAGUGGCGAAAGGCGACCUUCUGGUCUGUAACUGACACUGAGGCGCGAAAGCGUGGGGAGCAAACAGG
rnacentral:rRNA from 1 species